rnacentral:tRNA from 1 species
UAUUAUAUGGUGUAGUAUGCACAAUAAAUUUUGAAUUUUUAGGAUUAGAUUAAUUUUCUUGUUCUAC